ACGGGUGAGUAAUGUCUGGGAAACUGCCUGGUGGAGGGGGAUAACUACUGGAAACGGUAGCUAAUACCGCAUAACGUCGCAAGACCAAAGAGGGGGACCUUCGGGCCUCUUGCCAUCAGAUGUGCCCAGAUGGGAUUAGCUAGUAGGUGGGGUAAUGGCUCACCUAGGCGACGAUCCCUAGCUGGUCUGAGAGGAUGACCAGCCACACCGGAACUGAGACACGGUCCAGACUCCUACGGGAGGCAGCAGUGGGGAAUAUUGCACAAUGGGCGCAAGCCUGAUGCAGCCAUGCCGCGUGUGUGAAGAAGGCCUUCGGGUUGUAAAGCACUUUCAGCGAGGAGGAAGGUGGUGAGCUUAAUACGCUCAUCAAUUGACGUUACUCGCAGAAGAAGCACCGGCUAACUCCGUGCCAGCAGCCGCGGUAAUACGGAGGGUGCAAGCGUUAAUCGGAAUUACUGGGCGUAAAGCGCACGCAGGCGGUUUGUUAAGUCAGAUGUGAAAUCCCCGGGCUCAACCUGGGAACUGCAUUUGAAACUGGCAAGCUAGAGCCUCGUAGAGGGGGGUAGAAUUCCAGGUGUAG
rnacentral:rRNA from 1 species